rnacentral:lncRNA from 1 species
GGGAGGGCACAGCUGAUGAUGACACCUGCUGGCUUCUUCUUCUGUCCACAGGGGAGUGCCUCAAAUACACUGUGGUUCUGAUUGGGCUCAUCAGCCCCACAUCCUCCUCCAACACACACACACACACACACACACACACACACACACACAUGCACACACUUUGAUGUUUGGGGCCUCUGGCUGGGUCCAUGGACUCCUGGACAAGAACACCCUGUACUGGUCAGCAAAGUUGCCAUGUCAGAGCCACGAGGUCAGGAAUUCAAAACCAGCCUAGCCAAGAUGGUGAAACCCCAUCUCUACUAAAAAUACAAAAAUUAGCCAGGCGUGGUGGCAGGUGCCUGUAAUCCCAGUUACUCAGGAGGCUGAGGCAGGAGAAUCACUUGAACCUGGGAGGCAGAGGUUGUAGUGAGCCGAGAUUGUGCCACUGCACUGCAGCCUGGGUGACAGAGUGAGACUCCAUCUCAAAGAAAAAAAAGAUUAUACAUGAUGACCAAGUUGGAUUUAUACUUGGAAUGCAAGGAUGAGUGAAGAUACAAAAAUCAAUCAAGUCAUACACUACAUUAAUAUAAUGAAAGACAGAAACCACAUGAUUCAGACAAAGCAUUCAACAAAAUUCAACACCAUUUCAUGAUUAAAAACACUCAACAAACUAGGAAUAAAAGGAAAAUACUACCACAUAAUAAAGGUCUUACAUGAAAUGCCCACAACUAACAUUAUGUUUACUAGUGGAAGACAAAGCUAUUCCUCAAAGUACAGGAGAAAGUCAAGGAUGCCCACUCUUGCCACUUCUAUUCAACAUAGUACUGGGCCAGAGCAAUUAGACAAGGAAAAGAUAUAUAAAAGGUAUUUCAGUUGGAAAGGAAGAAGUAAAAUUAUUUCUAUUUACAGAUUAUAUGGUCUUAUAUGUAGAAAACCCUAAAAAUUCCACCAAAAACCUGUAAGAACUAAUAAAUGAUUUCCGCAAAGUUACAAAAUGCAAAAUUAACACACAAAAAUCCAUUGCAGUUCCACACAUUAGCAAUGACCAAUAUGGAAAGGAAAUUAAGAAGAAAAUUUCAGACCAGGUGCGGCAGCUUACACUUGUAAUCCCAACAUGUUGGGAGGCUGAGGCAGGCGGAUCACUUGAGGUCAGGAGUUUGAGACCAGCCUGGCCAACAUAGUGAAAUCCUGUCUCUACUACAAAAACAAACUAAUAAACAAACAAACAAACAAAAACAAAAACCCCACAAUUUUAUUUAUAAUAGCAUGAAAAAGAACAAAAUACUUAGAAAUAAACUUAACCAAGGAGGCAAACAACUUGGACACUAAAAAUUACAAAACAACAAUGCUACAAGAAACCAAAGAGUAUAUAAAUAAAUGAAAAGACAUCUCCAUGCAUGUGGAUUUGAAGACUUAAUAUUGUUAAAAUGUCCAUAUUACCUAAAACAAUUUACAAAUUCCAUACAAUCCCUAUUACAGCAUUAUUCACAGUAGCCA